GGAGUUAGCCGGUGCUUCUUCUGUGAGUGAUGUCCUUCCUGCCGGCUAUUAACCCGCAGGCCUUCUUCCUCACUGAAAGUGCUUUACAACCCGAAGGCCUUCUUCACACACGCGGCAUGGCUGGAUCAGGGUUGCCCCCAUUGUCCAAUAUUCCCCACUGCUGCCUCCCGUAGGAGUCUGGGCCGUGUCUCAGUCCCAGUGUGGCUGAUCAUCCUCUCAGACCAGCUACGGAUCGUCGCCUUGGUGAGCCGUUACCUCACCAACCAGCUAAUCCGACAUAGGCUCAUCCGAUAGCGCGAGGCCCGAAGGUCCCCCGCUUUCCCCCGUAGGGCGUAUGCGGUAUUAGCCUGGGUUUCCCCCAGGGUUAUCCCCCACUACCGGGCAGAUUCCUAUGCAUUACUCACCCGUCCGCCGCUCGCCACCAGGGAGCAAGCUCCCCGUGCUGCCGCUCGACUUGCNUGUGUAGCUCGCCGCCACGCGUCAUCUGACGCCACGAACGUACGAACCCGUACGA
rnacentral:rRNA from 1 species